AUCAAUACUUUCCCUAUACUGUCAUCAAAUAUCUUCCAUUACAGUACCUUAGGAUCAACAUUCUUAUUCCACUAAUCUCUUUUUUAAGUUCUUAAAGUCUUUAAUUAACUAAAAUCAAACAUUCACUCUCAAUGAUAUGCUAAAUCAUUAGAAUAAAUAUCAAAUCAUAAUCAUGCUGAGCUGAUUCUCGUAGUGGUGGCUUCACCCUGUCUAUGGGCAACUCUUUCCUACUGCACUAAGUUGAUAAGUUGACAUCCCUUUUUUCUGAAAUUACGUAAGCUGAACGAAAUUCACCAUCAUAUAUUG
rnacentral:misc_RNA from 1 species